AACGAACGCUGGCGGCAGGCUUAACACAUGCAAGUCGAACGCCCCGCAAGGGGAGUGGCAGACGGGUGAGUAACGCGUGGGAAUCUACCCAUCGCUGCGGAAUAGCUCCGGGAAACUGGAAUUAAUACCGCAUACGCCCUACGGGGGAAAGAUUUAUCGGGGAUGGAUGAGCCCGCGUUGGAUUAGCUAGUUGGUGGGGUAAAGGCCUACCAAGGCGACGAUCCAUAGCUGGUCUGAGAGGAUGAGCAGCCACAUUGGGACUGAGACACGGCCCAAACUCCUACGGGAGGAAGCAGUGGGGAAUAUUGGACAAUGGGCGCAAGCCUGAUCCAGCCAUGCCGCGUGAGUGAUGAAGGCCUUAGGGUUGUAAAGCUCUUUCUCCGGUGAAGAUAAUGACGGUAACCGGAGAAGAAGCCCCGGCUAACUUCGUGCCAGCAGCCGCCGCAG
rnacentral:rRNA from 1 species